UACAGAGGUGGCAAGCGUUGUUCGGCAUUACUGGGCGUAAAGGGCGCGUAGGCGGCCAUCUAAGUCAGACGUGAAAUCCCCCGGCUUAACCUGGGAACUGCGUCUGAUACUGGACGGCUUGAGUUUGGGAGAGGGAUGCAGAAUUCCAGGUGUAGCGGUGAAAUGCGUAGAUAUCUGGAGGAAUACCGGUGGCGAAGGCGGCAUCCUGGACCAACACUGACGCUGAUGCGCGAAAGCUAGGGGAGCAAACGGG
rnacentral:rRNA from 1 species